rnacentral:rRNA from 1 species
GGCCAGGCUCCUACGGGAGGCAGCAGUGAGGAAUAUUGGUCAAUGGCCGCAGGGCUGAACUAGCCAAGUCGCGUGAGGGAUGACGGUCCUAUGGAUUGUAAACCUCUUUUGUCAGGGAGCAAAGGGCGCCACGUGUGGCGUUUUGCGAGUACCUGAAGAAAAAGCAUCGGCUAACUCCGUGCCAGCAGCCGCGGUAAUACGGAGGAUGCGAGCGUUAUCCGGAUUUAUUGGGUUUAAAGGGUGCGUAGGCGGAAUAUCAAGUCAGCGGUAAAAAUUCGGGGCUCAACCCCGUCGUGCCGUUGAAACUGAUGUUCUUGAGUGGGCGAGAAGUAUGCGGAAUGCGUGGUGUAGCGGUGAAAUGCGUAGAUAUCACGCAGAACUCCGAUCGCGAAGGCAGCCUACCGGCGCGCAACUGACGCUCAUGCACGAAAGCGUGGGUAUCGAACAGGAUUAGAUACCCUGGUAC